CCUACGGGAGGCAGCAGUGGGGAAUAUUGCACAAUGGGGGAAACCCUGAUGCAGCGACGCCGCGUGAGUGAAGAAGUAUUUCGGUAUGUAAAGCUCUGUCAGCAGGGAAGAAAAUGCCGGUACCUGACUACGAAGCCCCGGCUAAAUACGUGCCAGCAGCCGCGGUAAUCCGUAGGGGGCAAGCGUUAUCCGGAUUUACUGGGUGUAAAGGGAGCGUAGACGGCUAAUCAAGUCAGAAGGGAAAACCCAGGGCUCAACUUUGGGACUGCUUUUGAAACUGAGUAGCUAGAGUGCAGGAGAGGUAAGCGGAAUUCCUAGUGGAGCGGUGAAAUGCGUAGAUAUUAGGAGGAACACCAGUGGCGAAGGCGGCUUACUGGACUGUAACUGACGUUGAGGCUCGAAAGCGUGGGGAGCAAACAGGAUUAGAUACCCGGGUAGUC
rnacentral:rRNA from 1 species